GAUGAACGCUAGCGAUAGGCUUAACACAUGCAAGUCGAGGGGCAGCACAAGGUAGCUUGCUAUCUGGGUGGUGACCGGCGCACGGGUGCGUAACGCGUAUGCAACUUGCCCUAUACAGGAGGAUAACCCGUCGAAAGACGGACUAAUACUGCGUAUGCUCACAACUUGGCAUCAAGUGGUGAGGAAAGAAAUUCGGUAUAGGAUAGGCAUGCGUCCCAUUAGCUUGUUGGUGAGGUAACGGCUCACCAAGGCAACGAUGGGUAGGGGAACUGAGAGGUUUAUCCCCCACACUGGUACUGAGACACGGACCAGACUCCUACGGGAGGCAGCAGUGAGGAAUAUUGGUCAAUGGGCGCGAGCCUGAACCAGCCAAGUCGCGUGAAGGAUGACUGUCUUAUGGAUUGUAAACUUCUUUUAUACGGGAAUAACAAGAGUCACGUGUGACUCCCUGCAUGUACCGGAUGAAUAAGCAUCGGCUAACUCCGUG
rnacentral:rRNA from 1 species